rnacentral:rRNA from 1 species
GCGAGCGCAACCCUUGCCUUUAGUUGCCAGCAGUUCGGCUGGGCACUCUAAAGGGACUGCCGGUGUUAAACCGGAGGAAGGUGGGGAGUGACGUCAAGUCCUCAUGGCCUUUAUGACCAGGGCUACACACGUACUACAAUGGCCGAUACAAAGGGCAGCGACACUGCGAGGUGAAGCCAAUCCCGUAAAAUCGGUCUCAGUCCGGAUUGGAGUCUGCAACUCGACUCCAUGAAGUUGGAAUCGCUAGUAAUCGUGGAUCAGCAUGCCACGGUGAAUACGUUCCCGGGCCUU